rnacentral:ncRNA from 2 species
UAAUUUUGAGUUUUAUCUGGUGCCUGUUUUCACAGGGUAAAAGGGAAUUGCGUGAAAAUCGCAAGCUGUACCCGCAACUGUAAAAUACAUCUGUUUUUGAGUGAAAAUUGCUGCUAAGCAUUUUUCCUCAUCAACCGCUAACCGCGCCACUGCGCUCGCCCACUCAAGGCUGCGUGGGAAGGCCGGCAAAGCAUUUCCGGUAAUAAGUCAGGAAACCUGCCAGAUAAAUUUCAUUGCA